CAAUAGCGUAUAUUUAAGUUGUUGCAGUUAAAAAGCUCGUAGUUGGAUUUCGGGUAGGAUUUGCCGGUCCGUCUUUGAGAUGUGUACUGGUAAGUCCUAUCUUCUUGUCGGGGACCAGCUCCUGGGCUUCACUGUCCGGGACUGGGAGCCGACGAAGUUACUUUGAGUAAAUUAGAGUGUUCAAAGCAAGCCUACGCUCUGAAUAUAUUAGCAUGGAAUAACACGAUAGGACUCUGGCUUAUCUUGUUGGUCUGUGAGACCAGAGUAAUGAUUAAGAGGGACAGUCGGGGACAUUCGUAUUUCAUUGCCAGAGGUGAAAUUCUUGGAUUUAUGAAAGACGAACUUCUGCGAAAGCAUUUGUCAAGGAUGUUUUCAUUAA
rnacentral:rRNA from 1 species